UCAUUACAAGGUUUUCAAUAGGUCAUUCGGGAUAAAGACGGAAGGGCGGGGGUGUCACGGAACAGCACUUCAAAACAUUACAGACAAGAACUGAAGGGUAAUUCUUUGACAUUCAUUUGGUUCUGCCAAAUGAACUUGUAUAUUACUGAAGUAAUCUCCAACAUGGUUGCUGAGAAUUUAAAACCAAGACAAAGCUCACAUCCUUAAUUGAGGAGUGUUCUAGCAUCCACAGUAUUUCACUUUUGGCCAUGAAGUUUAGAAUAUUGCAUCAUACAGUGCAUCUGCACAUACAAAAGAGCAGAGUCGUGAUAGCACUCAGGAACUGCAGG